CCAAAAACGGUCUAAUCCUCUAAAGACAUUUGUUCUUGUGUUACCUUUAUACAUUGUAAUACAUCAUGAAAUUUACUGAAUCUUCAGUUGAGAGACUUUAUAAUCUAAGAAAUUAGGAAUAUGUUACCAAUAUAUUAACGACUAAUAAAGUGCCAGCAGUCGCGGUCAUACUUUAGUUAAAAUAAAACCUAUUAGGACAUAUGUAGUAAUAAUACAACCUGUAGUAAAAUACGGUCAAUAUACUUAUAUACUUUCAAUUGUGACAAAUACUGGCAACAAACAGGGAUUAGAUACCCCUUUAUGCAGUAAGCAUAUCACGUCCUGGGCACGACAAUUAACAGAUUGAAACCCAACGAACAUGGCGGUAGCUUAAAUAUUUAGGGGAACUUACUAAGUAAAUGAUAACCACCAAGAAUAUGUACGUUAAGUUACAUUUUACAUACCGUCGUCGACAGAUCUACUUAGAUAGGAUAUCAACAUAUUGUUAAAAUAAAAGGACAGAUCAAGGUGUAGACCAUUUUAACGUUUCAGCGAGUUACAAUAUUUUUUAUUUUCGAACCUUAGUUAUAUAACUAAUUAAAGGUGGACUUAAAAGUAAUAUUUAUGGGAAAUACAAUAUGAAUACUCUUAUCCUGCGC
rnacentral:rRNA from 11 species